UCCAAAAUUCAUAAAAUGAGUUCCAGUCGUGGUGCCAGUAGAAAAUCAUCUGCUGGUUCUACCAAAUCCCAACUUCUUCAAUUCUCCUAGUCAAAGUGAUGGGGUAGGUAAGGAGGGGACUGUACCAGAAUCCUUUUUGAAACAAGCUCAUAAAACUGGUUCACUGAAUCUGUCAAACAGUUAGUGGGUGAAAGUCUAUAAUUUAUUGUCAGCGCUUGAGGUCCAGUACAAUGAGUUAACAUGUCUACCUAAUAAUGUGAUCAAACUGGAUAAACUAUUUAUAAAAUAUUUGUAAAGU